rnacentral:rRNA from 1 species
AUUGAACGCUGGCGGCAGGCCUAACACAUGCAAGUCGAGCGAGCGGCGGACGGGUGAGUAAUGUAUGGGGACUGCCCGAUAGAGGGGGAUAACUACUGGAAACGGUGGCUAAUACCGCAUACUGCCUGAUUACCCCUAUGGGAGUAGCUAGUAGGGAAGGUAAUGGCUUACCUAGGCGACGAUCUCUAGCUGGUCUGAGAGGAUGAUCCGCCACACGGGGACUGAGACACGGCCCAGACUCCUACGGAGGCAGCAGUGGGGAAUAUUGCACAAUGGGCGCAAGCCUGAUGCAGCCAUGCCGCGUGUAUGAAGAAGGCCCUAGGGUUGUAAAGUACUUUCAGUCGGGAGGCGUUACCGACAGAAGAAGCACCGGCUAACUCCGUGCCAGCAGCCGCGGUAAUAC